rnacentral:rRNA from 1 species
GCCAGCAGCCAUAUUAACCUGUAACCCACAACUGGCAGCCCAAUGAAGCUCAGCAGCUGUGAGCCUGGUCAGUACCUGGAUGGGAAACCUCCUGGGAAAGCUGAGGUUGUUGCUGGAA